GAUGAAGAACGCAGCGAAAUGCGAUACUUGGUGUGAAUUGCAGAAUCCCGUGAACCAUCGAGUCUUUGAACGCAAGUUGCGCCUGAAGCCAUUAGGCCGAGGGCACGCCUGCCUGGGCGUCACACGUCGUUGCCCCCCCAUCUACUCCUUCGGGAUUGCGGGGGGCGGAUGAUGGCCUCCCGUGCGCCUCGCCGCGCGGUUGGCAUAAAUGCCAAGUCCUUGGCGACGCACGCCACGACAAUCGGUGGUUGCGAAACCUCGGUUGCCCGUCGUGUGCGGUCGUCGCGCAUCGAGGGCUCGAAAAAAUUGCCGGGUUCCGGCUCGGCUUUCAACGCGACCCCAGGUCAGGCGGGGUUACCCGCUGAAUUUAAGCAUAUCAAUAAGCGGAGGA
rnacentral:misc_RNA from 1 species